UACGGAGGGCGCAAGCGUUGUUCGGAAUUAUUGGGCGUAAAGCGCGUGUAGGUGGUUUGGAAAGUUGGGUGUGAAAUCCCGGGGCCCAACCCCGGAAUUGCAUUCAAAACUUCCAGACUAGAGUCCCGGAGAGGAAGGCGGAAUUCCCGGUGUAGAGGUGAAAUUCGUAGAUAUCGGGAGGAACACCAGUGGCGAAGGCGGCCUUCUGGACGGUGACUGACACUCAGACGCGAAAGCGUGGGGAGCAAACAGG
rnacentral:rRNA from 1 species